GCGUGUUUGCGGCUCUUGGGGGCUUUUCCCCGAGGAGGGAGAAGGAACUUACGGGCUGCCCUUCUCCCUCCUCGGGGAAAAGCCCCCAAGAGCUGCACACACGC